rnacentral:rRNA from 1 species
UGAGCAAUCUGCCCUUCUCUUUGGAAUAAGCGUUGGAAAUGACGUCUAAUGCCGAAUACGACCUCCUUUCGCAUGAUCGGAGGUGAAAGCUCCGGCGGAGAAGGAUGAGCUCGCGGCCUAUCAGCUAGUUGGUGUGGGUAAUGGCCCACCAAGGCGACGACGGGUAGCCGGCCUGAGAGGGUGACCGGCCACACUGGGACUGAGACACGGCCCAGACUCCUACGGGAGCAG